UACGUAGGGUGCAAGCGUUGUCCGGAAUUAUUGGGCGUAAAGAGCUCGUAGGCGGUGUGUCACGUCGGCCGUGAAAACCUGGGGCUUAACUCUGGGCGUGCGGUCGAUACGGGCAUCACUAGAGUUCGGCAGGGGAGACUGGAAUUCCUGGUGUAGCAGUGAAAUGCGUAGAGAUGCGGAGGAACACCGAUGGCGAAGGCGGCUCACUGGCUCGUAACUGACGCUCAUGCACGACAGCGUGGGGAUCAAACAGG
rnacentral:rRNA from 1 species